UGGGAGAACCAUAGUUGAGAUAAUAUAAACCAUCUUUUUUGCGCCCUCCACCAAUCGUCCUCCUCGUGUGAAGAUCCUGAAAAACACAGUAAGAGGGAAAGAAGGUUGUUGAGCAAUUUAAUGAGCUAGUUAACUAGUUCACAGAAAGAAAACUUAAUGGGAAUUGUGGAACAUGUAGCACAGAAGAUAAAUUCAGUAAGGAUGUGGGUGAUAUAGAACCAUAGCCGAGAACCGGUGUGGAAGCAUUAUUGGCAAGAAUAACAAAUGUAGAACUGGUACGAGAAGAAAAGGUUUUAAAAAGUGAUGACUUACCAGUCAUGUGCAAACGCUGGAGCAACUAAUUAAUGUCAUCGCACAGGCUGGUAGAUGAAUCUCCUGAUGAAUGGGUCGGUUUAGUAUCAAUGGAAGACCCUGUGUCAGUACAGUCGUUUGACACUGCAUGAUUGGCUAACUGGGUGACCCACUCUGGCUUGCCAUGCUUUGCCCAACAAGUCUCGACAGUAUGGUUAGGCUUUCCACAGUAAGUGCAUUGGCGAGAUGCACGAUCAGACGGCUGUCCACUAGAACCUCGACCAACCGACCAACCGACCCACCUUCCUCCUCUACGACCGCGACCACGACCACAUCCACAGUUGUCAAGGAAGGUAGAAUUGUCUUUGGAAGAUUGAUCAGGUUUUGUUAAUGAAGUAAUACGCUACAGUCGCGAAUAAGUGUCAUUCAGAGUAGGAACAGUAUCGCCUGCGAGUAGAUGGCCCUUCACUGCUUUCAAAUCAUUAUUCAAACCAGCCAGGAAUUUGAAAACAAAAAACUCAUUACGUUGAGCUUUUAACUUGUCAAUGUCAAUGGUCAAGGGUUGGAAAACAUUGAGUUCUUCAACCAUUCCCCUGAAAGCACUAUAAUACUCUAGAAGAGUUCUGUCAGACUGGCGAAAUUGGAAUAGUUUCUCAUAAAUAUCAUAGAUACGAGUCAUGUUCUUCUCCUGAGAAUAAGCUUCCUUCAAAUCGUUCCAUGCUCCCUUUGGAGUAGAGUGAAACAUAACAUUGGCAGCAACAUCUGGUUGCAUACUAUUCUACAACCAGAUUAAAAUCAAGGCAUUCUCCUUCAUCCAUUCAUUAUAACCCUUGUUAGAUGCUGGAGGAGGAUUAGAAGUAGUAUACUGAAGUUUAUCCUUGGCCAUAAGAUAAACCUUUACAAACUGAGUCCAAAGUAGGUAAUUCGAACUUCCCUUGAGCUUGAUACAGGUAAUUUGGACAUUGACAUUGUCCGAGGCAGAUGCAGUAGUAACAGAGGUAGGAGACUUGGUCUCAGCCAUGAGAACAAAAAAUAAAGUGGGCAAAUAGCGUCGCAGAAGUAACAAAAAAACUAGCAACCAAACCUGAACCACAGAGACCAACGCUAGCGAUCUGGCAGAAAACGAGUAGGGCAAAGAAGAAAGUAAGCUGCAGUCUAAGGUCUUCAAAUCUUUAGUGUGGAAACAAUGGGGCACGAUCCAUGCACAAAGUCAAUCACUCCAUGUGAUUUAAAACAUAAUAGAUGCAGCAGAAGGCGGCUGCGCACCAAAAAGAUUUAGCGCUAAACUGAGAUCAGCAGAGAGGGAUCUGAAAAAUGACUUUGAUUUGAUUACAGAGGCUCUGAUACCAUGUUACAAUCCCAGAGAUAUGUAACCAAACCAAAGAAAAGAGAAGAAGAAGAGAAGAGAUAAGAGAGAGAGAGGUGCGAUCGAUGGUACUCCCAAAAGAGAGGAGAGACCUGUGAUCAGUCCAGAAUGGGUUGAUAGCAGGUUUUAGUCCUUUACUUAUAUUAAAAUAAUGUUGAAAGUAAAAGACAAUAGUACCCCCAUUGCCCAAUUACAACAAAAACCACAUCACAGAAAUAUGGGGGCCGAUGGGACCCAAAAUACCCUUAUCGGUCAACACCCAUCAUUACUGUUAAGACAUCUAGGGAUAAAAACAACCAUAAUAUAUGAACUGAGAACAAGAUAACAAGCAAAUUCCUAAAUAAAAAAUUCAAAACUUCACUGGAGACUCAAAUUUUAUAGAAAAGAAAUUCAAAUCAACCAUGGAAAGAAACCCUAAAUCUGCAUUCCAUACUUCACACAUUCAAAUCGCAGAUCUAGACAUAAAUCGAUGCCUUUUCCCAGAGAGAGAGAGAGAGAGACCUUCACCUCGGAUCACUGACGGCAGAUCGACCUUCAGUUCCCCUCAAGUUGCUGAUGCUUCUUAUCUCUGGCCGUUGCAACUAUGAAAGAGGGUAAUAGGUUAGCUUCAGUUUUGUUAUAUUUUGAGGGUAAAGUACGUAUUUGCCCCUCCUAACUUAAGUUACAAAGUUGAUUCAGCACCUUUUGCUCAGAAUCAAUUCUGAAAAUGAAAAGCACCACUUUCAUGUUCCAAAAAAGGGAUUCCAAAACCUUAAAAGUGUCCGUUUCAUUUCAAACAAAUAAGAAAUUGAACCGGGCUUACCAUACAGUUUUUACCCCAUUUCUGUUCCAAAAAAAUGAAAAAACAAUAGAAUUCAUUUUUUAGAUCAUUACAAUACAGAGCCUUGCUGGCUGAUCUUGCCUGUUCAACCUUUGAGGUGACCUGUUGUCCAGUCGUAGGAGGGAGUGGUGGUGGCUGCAUACCACCCAAAUGCUUACUCUUCCUAACGAUGAGUAUCAGUUAGAAAAUUUGCUGAUAACAUUCUCACUGACGGCACCAAUUUGUUGCAGCAAGAAAUCGUGCUAGGCUUCCCUUACGUCUUGCUCAGAAGAACAAACAAGAGAAAGUGAUUGUUGUGUUGCUCCAGCGGGUGACUCUCCGAUGCCUAAGUCAGAUCUCUCUGCAAAUAGUAGUUCCAAGUAUAAUGGAAAAGUUUUCAAUCCCCUUGGAGGGGGGCUUACCUGGGUAUUUAUAGUUGAUCGAUGGAGUUGGAGUGAGGUGGUCAUGGAGUGUCCUGACUUGGUUAGUGUUUUAAUACUUGUAGGAGUCUAAGCAUAGUAGGAGUUAUGUUUGGAAAGUGCGUAGAUAGCGUUUAUUCCACUUGUAGGAACCUUCUAUAUCCUGAUCGGUGGGAGAUUCCCCUUCCUUUUGGGGGCGACUACAAGUCAUUUUCAGUGAUCUUUCUUGAUUAGGGUCCAUUCCUUGCUUGGAGUCUAUGUAUUCGAUUGGGAGUGGAUUCCCUUGUAGUGAAUGAGUUACCUCCUUUAUUAAGGAUUCUCCGAGCGCUGGUAGCUCAGUCACUCAGUUAUUCGCUGAACGAAUGUUACCUUGAGGCGGUCUUGGGUUAUUUUGUUGAUCCCUAAGAUUGGUUCGGCCCUGGCCUGUCUCACUUGGCCUUAGUUUCACAUGUCGUGCUGGUAUUGGCGAGUAUAUUUUGAGCAUAACACAACCCAUUAAGAGUGUUUCCAAAUCAACAGUUCUCAUAGUUGGUCUACAGGUGGCAUGUUGGAGUAAUGGAUAUGAUGGUUCUAAUUUCAACUCUUUGUUUAGGUGGUCCAUUCGUUUAAGUCUCAUUCCUGACCUCCAUGUUGUUUCAAUUAGGUGUACUGUUUUGUCUUUUGAUCAUAUUAUUAUGUAGUUUCCUGUCCCAUUUACCUUUGAUUGCAUGAGAACGUAAGAAUUUAUUUUUGAUCUAUUGUAAGCAUUUUUUUUUUUUCCAAUUUAUUCCUCACUCUUUCUGAUCUGUAUGUUUUUGCCUUCUCUUGUCCACAAAAUCAUGCAGGUCAACUUGGAACAGGGCAUUGAGAUGUUAAACAUAUUCAAGAACUAUGAAACCGAUAUGUCCAUUCUAGAUGAUUUUGAUUUCUAUGAAGACCGGCAGAAAGCCAUGCAGGAAAGAAAGGCAAGACAGCAAACCAACUUGAUGGCUGCACCUGUGGCUGGUGUACAUGAGCACCGGAGUCCUGUUUCAUUGUCCAGUGACUUCAUAAGGCAGAUACAAGCCGUUAAGUUGGAGGACCACAGCAAAGCAGACCCAGCCACAGAACAGAGUGGAUCUGCACUUGCUGUUCCCAUGAGCAUGGGAGUUAAAUCUGAAGAUGCCAAAUCGUCGAUAACAUUGGCGGCUUCAGCUGUGCAGAGCAGUUAGGAGGUGAUGUGGCAUGUCAUGAAGGGUUGCUGGAAACUGACGGUUCACUACCUCCUAUGAUUCAAAAUUUAUGUGGGUAGAUGGAAUCUCUGUCAGAUGUGUAAGGAAUUCAGAGUGCAUUGCCAUUUGCGUAGAAAGAUGAAGUUUUGUGUUCGGCCAUGUAUGCACACGGCCUGUUGCUGCAGCCAUCGGAUGGGGAAGAGAGGGGAGGGUGUGCUACAUCAUUUCUGCCCCCUUCUGGACAAAGAGUUUUAACACCAGCCAUGUACAAAUGACUACACAAAGCCGGACCUUUUAUUAUGCUUUUGUUUUGUAUGACGAGAGCAGUUAAUUACAGCUGCGGGGUGAUAAAAGCCUUUGUAAAGUUCUCAUAUUGGAGGGCAGACAUAAAGUAAUGAAGCAAGGCCUUUUAGAAA